AAAAAAAAAAAAAAAAAAACACACUAGGGAAAAGAUUUUUCCCUCUAAAACUUUACAGAGAGAAUGCUUGAUCAAUAAUCAUCGCAAACAUUACUACUCCCUCCGUCCCAAAAAAAUAGUCCAUAUUUUCUUUUUCGAUGUCUCAUAAUAAUAGUCUUUUUUCCUUUUUUAGAAAUAUAUAUUUUUUGAAUUUGCAAUUAUAUCCUCGUGUAAUUACACUUUAAAACAAUUAAUAACUUUUAUUUUUUUAAGAAACUGGAGUGUAGUGAAUAAUUCAUUUAUUAUCAGUUAUGAUCACAACAUAAAAGGAAGCAAAAUUUAUUAUUACUUUAAUCUCUUUAUAUUCUGAUUUUGUAAAUCUAACACCUACAAAGGAAGACCAAAUUGAAUCUCUUGCCAAUAAUAGUAAUUCUUCAUAUUUAUCUUGUAUUUAAUGCAGUCCAAGUAAUAUUACUCUUGCAAAUAACUUUAAUUAGGGGCAUAUAGGGAAAAAACGUGAAAAAAAUUUCGAUUAAAUCAUAAUAAUCGAAAUCCUUAAUUCAUGUGCAAAAAGUAACGUGGACUAUUUUUUUGAGGUGGAGGGAGUAUUUGACAACCAUAACACCCAGCUAAAUUGAUUAUUACUCUGGCUUCUGCAAUUAUUGCCCCAGUAACCUGUUGUUACCACCCAUAAAUGUGUAUUACCCUUGUCAUUGCUAUAAUUAACAAUGAAAGUGUUAAAAAUAAUGAUGGCAAAUUUUGAUCCAAUUUAUCAUUUCAAUUUAAAGUAGUGUAUAAUUUGUUUUAAUGUGCAUAAAUUUGAAAUAACAUAAAUAACUCAUAAUAUUGAUGGUUCAAUUGAGAGUUAAUCAAUGACAUGAUUUAAAAUCAACUAGUUUAGAUUGACUUCAAAAUUAAGCUAAUAAAAAACUAAAUUUUUGGAUAAAAAUUAAAAUUUUAUUAUGAAACGAUUCACAACCUACAUAGUACACUAGAAUAAUCUUUAUGUGUGGUGACUCAAUAAUAACUCAAACGUAACUUGUUCAAUUUUAUCUGUUUGCCAUUUUUAAUAAAAGAAAAUUUUAAUUAUUAAAGGAGCUUAUAUUCUUUUAGACUGUUUUUAGGCAUUAAUUCAGAAAAUGGGAAAAACUAGAAAUCAUAAAAUAUGAUUUUCAAUUUAUCUUUGACAUUUAUAUAUAUUACAACCAUUGAUGCCUAGCACAAUA
rnacentral:misc_RNA from 1 species